CCUCUUUUUCUCUCCCUGUUAAGAGAUUCGUUUGAAAUUUCGAUAAUUCAUCUGCAGGCUUGAUCAUUUGCUCGACAUAUUCUUGAAUAACCAGAACGAGAUCGUAUUCCAAGCAACAAAAUGAAUUUAGAUAUAGUGCUUAAGUUCCCACAUGAAGAGGUCACAUUAUGCGUAUGCCGAUACUCACCAAAGGCUGCAUUUACUGACCUAAAAAAGUGUCAGGGAGACAAAUGUGAUUCCUGGCUCCACAAAACGUGUUAUCCACGCAACUACUGCCCAUAUUGUUAUCUCGACAUGAUGGAUGGUCCAUUUUGCGAGCACACUGAAGCUCUACUACCACCAACUGUACUUACUA